GAGUUUGAUCCUGGCUCAGGAUGAACGCUGGCGGCGUGCUUAACACAUGCAAGUCGAACGGGAAUUACUUUAUUGAAACUUCGGUCGAUUUAAUUUAAUUCUAGUGGCGGACGGGUGAGUAACGCGUGGGUAACCUGCCCUGGAGUGGGGGACAACAGUUGGAAACGACUGCUAAUACCGCAUAAGCCCACGGCCCGGCAUCGGGCUGCGGGAAAAGGAUUUAUUCGCUCUAGGAUGGACUCGCGUCCAAUUAGCUAGUUGGUGAGGUAACGGCCCACCAAGGCGACGAUUGGUAGCCGGACUGAGAGGGUGACCGGCCACAUUGGGACUGAGACACGGCCCAAACUCCUACGGGAGGCAGCAGUGGGGAAUAUUGCACAAUGGGCGAAAGCCUGAUGCAGCGACGCCGCGUGAGCGAAGAAGUAUUUCGGUAUGUAAAGCUCUAUCAGCAGGGAAGAUAAUGACGGUACCUGACUAAGAAGCACCGGCUAAAUACGUGCCAGCCGCCGCGGUAAUGC
rnacentral:rRNA from 1 species